UACAGAGGGUGCGAGCGUUAAUCGGAAUUACUGGGCGUAAAGCGCACGUCGUCGGCUUUGCAAGUCGGGUGUGAAAUCCCCGGGCUCAACCUGGGAACUGCAUCCGAGACUGCAUUGCUAGAGUAUGGGAGAGGGAAGCGGAAUUUCUGGUGUAGCAGUGAAAUGCGUAGAUAUCAGAAGGAACAUCAGUGGCGAAGGCGGCUUCCUGGACCAAUACUGACGAUCAGGUGCGAAAGCGUGGGGAGCAAACAGG
rnacentral:rRNA from 1 species